CCUACGGGAGGCAGCAGUGGGGAAUAUUGCACAAUGGGCGCAAGCCUGAUGCAGCAACGCCGCGUGAGGGACGACGGCCUUCCCGUUGUAAACCUCAAUUAGUAGGGAAGAAGCGAAAGUGACGGUACCUGCAGAAAAAGCACCGGCUAACUACGUGCCAGCAGCCGCGGUAAU
rnacentral:rRNA from 1 species